rnacentral:snoRNA from 1 species
AGGACUGUACUUUCAAGGAUCAUUUCUAUAGUUUAUUACUAAAGAAGUUUCUCUGAACAUAUAAAGCAAAACAUUUUUUAAGAAGAAAAAA